ACCAGAGACAAAGUCCAAGAUGGACAGUUCUAGACAGAAAUCUGCUUUGAGGUGCUCCAUUUGAUCCUGUUCAUCUGUACAUGUUUUCUUGGAGGAAAACAGUUCCUACAGACAGGCAGGGAAAGACAGCACUUAAAGCGGGAUGAGGUGAUUAAGACUGUAGUUUUACAGGCUGGCUGCUGCUCGGCAGAUGGAAAUUUUCCAGGCUGCCAGAAGAAAAGGGGAAGAAAAGGAAACCCGGAAGAAAGCGAAGGCAUGACUGCUGCCCCAGGGGAUCCGACGUAUGUAAAAAGGAAUGUACAAGCCCAAGUGCACUUGCCUCGCGUGCCUUCCCAACCCCACGGAUGUGGGCAGGACCGUACGGUUCUGGGUGUUAACCUCGCCAUAAAGCAGAAAUUCCCCCUAAUUUCACAGAAUCACGAAUUUACUGAGCUGGAGAGACCCACUCCUGACCCUGCCUAGGCCGUGUCCUCUCGUCCUGACGCUGGUUGCCUGGGAGAAGAGCCCGACCCCCACCUGGCUGCAGCCUCCUUUCCGGCCUGGAUUCGGCAGGUGGAAGCCCGAGGGCCAGGACAGCCAGGCUGUGCCUGCAGCUGCUGCCCGCGGGCUGCCCAAGAGACUUCUGGAAGCAGCAGUGAUGCCCUUAUGCAACAAAUAUCUGAAAGAUUUAAAGCACAGUUGUGUGCGCUGCUUCGAGGCAGCUGUUUCCAUGAGCAAAGCGCUGCUGCCUCCUGACGUGACCCAUGUCCGAGCAGGAUUUUAAAGGGAUCAUUUGCUCCACGCUGUGCUACUGCCAGUCUCUGACCUUUAAUGCAAUUUGGCAAAUCAGAUGGCUCUGAUUACAAAAGCCUUUGAAACAUGCUGACACCUCGUGCUGUCUGCUGGAGACCAGAGUACUCGAAAACAGAAAGAGCCAACGCAAUUUCCAUAGGAGCUUACGGAGGUUCUUAUGGAUCCUGACUCCACGUGCCCUUGGUCUCUGCUCCUUGAGACUCUUGUGAGCUGUUCAGCCUUUUGCCUUUCAGGUGAGUCACUUUGCACAGUUGCAUCUGUGCAUGAUUUUGUUCCCUCUCUCUCAUUUUGUGUUUCAGAUUGCUCCAAGCCUGUAUUUAAGUUCUCAUCUUUUUCUACACCACUGUGAAAUGACUGUUUUUCCAAUGCUUUUUGAUCCACGUAUGGAAAUAAGCGAAAACAUGCUUGGUGCUGCAAAGAAAAAGGUUUUUCCUGCAGCACAGAACCAGCCAAAAUGCUUUGUAAGAGCACAUCUAAUUAUCUAAUCUCUCCCUUCUCUGGCCCCAUUCCCUUCCUCUCUGUGAUCAUCAUGCUCCAGCUAUGGUUGGCCAGAGUUCUCCCUUGCACAGAGCACAGUGUGUUGCCAAUACCACUGUUGUUUGCAGAUUUACAAGGUCUGGCUUUAAAUGCCCUUGCGACAAACAAAAACAUGUACAUGCUGCUUCUGUCUUAACAGUUGUUAACCCUAAAUCACAGUGUGAGCAGCCAAUGAGAUGCUUUUCCAAAAUGCUGCUUUACAUUGGGGCCCAAACUGCAGAGCUGGAGUGGAGGAUCCUUUCCACACGCAGUGCCUGUAAGCUGAGGAGGAAGCCCAGCUGUUCUGCAAGGUACCUCUGCACGGGCUGAAACGCAGCACUCUGGCACACAGGAGACAUGGAGAGACACAGGCUCUGGUUCUUAAUUUCAGGGGAGCCAAGGCAAGCUCUUAGAGUCAGCAUUAAUACCCUGUGAAAGAUGAGUGGAGUUGGCUGUUGUUCCUGCAAGAUUUAUACCUCUUCUCCACAGGCAUCUUGUCCCUUUUUGCUUGGCCUCCACUUCCCACAGAAGUCAUAAUGUGCCUGUUUCUGAGUUCAGCAUGUUCUGAAUUCUGCAUGAUCCUUUGGAAAAGGAGCAUUUUAAGAUUGUCUUUUAACUGAUGCAUUUUAAACAUAGCUUAUCACUUAUUGACCACAUAGGAACACUUGACCUUUGCAUGAACUACGUUCAAAAUAUUUGAUAAAACCAUGCAAAAUAUUCUCCUUUCUAAAAGAUUUGACUAUGAGCAACAGAGAGGAGAUAAACAGGACUCCAUCCAGCAUGACUUGCACAGUAAAAUGUCACUUAAUGCAGACAUUUUGUUGACUUCCAUUUUACAACUUCUUUCAAUGAAUGCUUUGAUGGUGUAAGGCUGGAAUAAAGAAAAGGCACAGUGCCCAGUACAACACAGUGUACAGCAGCAGCAGCAAAUUUGAUUUGUUUGCCUCAUAGGGCAGGUAAUGCACUUAAGUAAUUGUGUAGCACAGCAAAGUCAAAUUUCACAGACCUCAGCCUGUGACAGUCAGAAAUCAGUGAGCUGGCAGAUGCCCCAGCUCCUCAUUGGGCACCUUCCCAACAUGUAUAAAUGGGGCACGUGCACAAUCCAGCUGCAGGUGCACAAUCCAGCUGACAGGACAGACCCUCAGGCUCUUUGGAGUCCAACACAAUAAGCUGUGACACAUCUGACAGCUUUAUAUCUGUGCAUACUUCUCCAUAACAUGACAUGGGUUCAAGUGACUAUAACAGCCAAUAAAUGAAGGCACAAGCAGCUUUAACAAAUGUUCACAAUGUUAUUUCCAGUAUUUUAAGCCCCAUCCAUAUACCUGAA